rnacentral:ncRNA from 1 species
UAAAGGCAUGGUCCUGACCUUACUAUCAGCUUUAGCCCAACUUACACAUGCAAGUCUCCGCAGCCCCGCGAGUAUGCCCUCAAUCCCCCGCCCGGGGACGAGGAGCGGGCAUCAGGCACAAAUAUUAGCCCAAGACGCCUAGCCAAGCCACACCCCCAAGGGAUUUCAGCAGUGAUAAACAUUAAGCCAUAAGUGAAAACUUGACUCAGUCAGGGUUAAGAGGGCCGGUAAAACUCGUGCCAGCCACCGCGGUUAAACGAGAGGCCCGAGUUGAUAGCACCACGGCGUAAAGGGUGGUUAAGGAAAGCAGCAUAAUAAAGCCAAAUGGCCCUUUGGCCGUCAUACGCUUCUAGGUGUCCGAAGCCCAGUCCCACGAAAGUAGCUUUAAUAAAACCCACCUGACCCCACGAAAGCUGAGAAACAAACUGGGAUUAGAUACCCCACUAUGCUCAGCCAUAAACCUAGACGUCCAACUACAAUUAGACAUCCGCCCGGGUACUACGAGCAUCAGCUUGAAACCCAAAGGACCUGACGGUGCCUUAGACCCCCCUAGAGGAGCCUGUUCUAGAACCGAUAACCCCCGUUAAACCUCACCACUCCUGGCCCCUCCAGCCUAUAUACCGCCGUCGUCAGCUUACCCUGUGAAGGUAAUAAAAGUAAGCAAAAUGGGCACGACCCAGAACGUCAGGUCGAGGUGUAGCGUACGAAGUGGGAAGAAAUGGGCUACAUUUUCUAUAAUAGAAUACUACGAAUAUGCAACAUGAAAUAGUGCUUGAAGGAGGAUUUAGUAGUAAAAAGGAAGCAGAGUGUCCUUUUGAACCCGGCUCUGAGGCGCGUACACACCGCCCGUCACUCUCCCCUGUCAAAACGCAACAAAAAUUCCUAAUACUAGAGCACUGACAAGGGGAGGCAAGUCGUAACAUGGUAAGUGUACCGGAAGGUGCACUUGGAUUAAACC